CCUCCCAUCGUUUCCUUAAAAAUCGCAACCCUCCGGUACAUCGGCGCCGCUCCCCGUCUCUAGCCCCCGUCCGCGCCUCCGCUCCGUCCCGGCGCGCUGCCUCUCCCCAUCCCCGGCUUCCGUCCGCGCCACCGCACCGCUGCUCCGUCCCCGGUCGGCGCGCGCUGCUCCGUCCCCGGCCGCCGCGCCGCUUCGCCGUCCCUGGCCGAUCUCCGACAUUCGCUUUCCAAUCCGAUCUCGGCCAGUCGCCGGCGCCCAUCCCUCCUACAGCGCCGCCAUGGACGAAGUCGUCAGCCAGAUCCUGGAGAAGCAGGUGCUGUCAGCCGCGAAGGUUGUGGAGGACAAGCUCGACGAGGAGAUCGCCACGCUCGACCGCCUCGACGCGGACGACAUCGAGGCCCUGCGAGAGCGCCGGAUCCAGCAGAUGUUGGACGAGCAUAGAUUCGUCUGCGGCGCCGGAUCCAGGUGGCGGCGCGGGGCGGGCCGUUCGAGUUCUUCGGGUUCACGACCUCGGCGCGGCGAAACCGGCCGCAGUUCCUGGUGGGCGCCUCCUCGCUGCUACGCACGAUGCUGGGGCCGGAGGUCGCCGCCGGGUUCGGCGCCCGCGAGAAGGACUUCAGGAAGGUGGUGCGGGCGCAGGAGGAGGCCCUGAUACUGCCGUCGUUCCCGGACACGGGAAAGAGGGAGAAGGGGAGGGAGGAGCAUGGGAAGGGGAGGAGGGAGAGGGAGGAGCCGCUGGUCAUCGAGCAGGUGGCCAAGGAGUGAAGCUGCUCGAAGCUUUUGUUGAGCAGACGAUCGAUCAGGUCGAUCGAUGCUCAACUCUGCUUCCUUGGUUCCUCCCGAGUCCUGAGAAGCAUGGGCGCUACGGAUGCUGCUGCUAGACUCUGUUGUUGACCUAUGUCAGUCAGUGCUUGUGUGUUUUUCGUGACGCUGUCUAUAAAUAAAGUCCUUUGUGGCGUUUUACA